AAAUAGAUAAAUAAUUUGUUUGAUCACUACCUAGUUUGUUGUUGUCUGAUGUAGGUUGAUGUGGUCGUUGUAGUGUUGCAAUAGAGUUUUUUUAUGUGAAUUACAAUCACACCACAAUUAUGGUAUUAGGCAGUUGGUCACUGCUGGGACCAAUAUUGUGGCCGCAUCACGUGAUGCAGUUUGUAAUUUAAAUAACCGAUUUGUCUCUUUGAAUGUUGCUUCUCUCUCCGUUGGGUCCUCUCUUCGCUCUUAGCUAUUGCUUAUUCUUUGGUUGCUCCUCUCACUUGUUAUGAUAUUAGUUGAUUUUCGAUCUCUUAUAUUUUAGCUUUUUCAAUACUUUUGUUAAUCCUAUUUAUAUUUUAGUUUGGUAUUGGAGAAAUCAAGCUCGAUUUGAAGGACUUUCAAAUUCUCAAUGUAUUACAAGUUGGAGCCCAUCCUCCUAAAGUGCCUAUUAUCAAAGAGGUGGUCUGGCGUCCCCCAAACAACAUUGGAUUAAAUGUAAUAUUGAUGGUGAUGCAUCUGAAUGUUUUCCCUUCACUGUAGUUUUAUCCGUACAAGGUUUUUUGAUAAAGUUUUUAAUGAGGCAGUACUUUGUGUAUUCUUGAUGAUUAUUUUCUUGGAUUUUGGUAUAGCCUCCCAAGCAUCUAAUAUUUUAUUUUAUUUUAGAGUGCUACAAAUGAUACGUGAUU